GUGGGGGAUUAAGGUUUGAGUGUCAGCCUGUGAUCCCUAGUUGAUUUGAGAGAAGCAUCAACCACACGGGGUAUGAAAACGACCCCGCCCCUGGCAGCAGUGGGGAAUUUUGGGCAAUGUGCGAAAGCAUGACCCAGCGAAUUAGCGUAGGGGAUGAAGGCUACAGCAGCUGUAAACCCAGCCCGCAUACUAAAACGAUGAUAUUAUGUGUGAAAAGAAGUCAUGGCUAAUACAUGUGCCAGCAGCCGCGGUAAUACAUGAGUGACUAGCGUUAUUCGCCGUGCUUGGGGCGUAUAGGAUGCGUAGGCGGUUAUAGUUUUGUUAACUACUAGAUCCAUUGGUGAAAUUUUAACGAUAACUAUAUACUAGAGUUGGCAGGAGUUAUUCAUUCCGUUAAGAAGCGAUGAAAUGCUACUAUUUACCGGGGUUGGUCCGUAUAUUUGAAAAAAAAUAAGACUAC
rnacentral:rRNA from 1 species